rnacentral:rRNA from 1 species
CAGCCGCCACGGUAAUACGGAGGGAGCUAGCGUUGUUCGGAAUUACUGGGCGUAAAGCGCGCGUAGGCGGUUACUCAAGUCAGAGGUGAAAGCCCGGGGCUCAACCCCGGAACUGCCUUUGAAACUAGGUGACUAGAAUCUUGGAGAGGUCAGUGGAAUUCCGAGUGUAGAGGUGAAAUUCGUAGAUAUUCGGAAGAACACAAGUGGCGAAGGCGACUGACUGGACAAGUAUUGACGCUGAGGUGCGAAAGCGUGGGGAGCAAACAGGAUUAGAGACCCCAGUAGUCCCUGUCUCUUAUAC